rnacentral:rRNA from 1 species
GUUAAGCGACUAAGCGUACACGGUGGAUGCCCUGGCAGUCAGAGGCGAUGAAGGACGUGCUAAUCUGCGAUAAGCGUCGGUAAGGUGAUAUGAACCGUUAUAACCGGCGAUUUCCGAAUGGGGAAACCCAGUGUGUUUCGACACACUAUCAUUAACUGAAUCCAUAGGUUAAUGAGGCGAACCGGGGGAACUGAAACAUCUAAGUACCCCGAGGAAAAGAAAUCAACCGAGAUUCCCCCAGUAGCGGCGAGCGAACGGGGAGCAGCCCAGAGCCUGAAUCAGUGUGUGUGUUAGUGGAAGCGUCUGGAAAGGCGCGCGAUACAGGGUGACAGCCCCGUACACAAAAAUGCACAUGCUGUGAGCUCGAUGAGUAGGGCGGGACACGUGGUAUCCUGUCUGAAUAUGGGGGGACCAUCCUCCAAGGCUAAAUACUCCUGACUGACCGAUAGUGAACCAGUACCGUGAGGGAAAGGCGAAAAGAACCCCGGCGAGGGGAGUGAAAAAGAACCUGAAACCGUGUACGUACAAGCAGUGGGAGCACGCUUAGGCGUGUGACUGCGUACCUUUUGUAUAAUGGGUCAGCGACUUAUAUUCUGUAGCAAGGUUAACCGAAUAGGGGAGCCGAAGGGAAACCGAGUCUUAACUGGGCGUUAAGUUGCAGGGUAUAGACCCGAAACCCGGUGAUCUAGCCAUGGGCAGGUUGAAGGUUGGGUAACACUAACUGGAGGACCGAACCGACUAAUGUUGAAAAAUUAGCGGAUGACUUGUGGCUGGGGGUGAAAGGCCAAUCAAACCGGGAGAUAGCUGGUUCUCCCCGAAAGCUAUUUAGGUAGCGCCUCGUGAAUUCAUCUCCGGGGGUAGAGCACUGUUUCGGCAAGGGGGUCAUCCCGACUUACCAACCCGAUGCAAACUGCGAAUACCGGAGAAUGUUAUCACGGGAGACACACGGCGGGUGCUAACGUCCGUCGUGAAGAGGGAAACAACCCAGACCGCCAGCUAAGGUCCCAAAGUCAUGGUUAAGUGGGAAACGAUGUGGGAAGGCCCAGACAGCCAGGAUGUUGGCUUAGAAGCAGCCAUCAUUUAAAGAAAGCGUAAUAGCUCACUGGUCGAGUCGGCCUGCGCGGAAGAUGUAACGGGGCUAAACCAUGCACCGAAGCUGCGGCAGCGACGCUUAUGCGUUGUUGGGUAGGGGAGCGUUCUGUAAGCCUGUGAAGGUGUGCUGUGAGGCAUGCUGGAGGUAUCAGAAGUGCGAAUGCUGACAUAAGUAACGAUAAAGCGGGUGAAAAGCCCGCUCGCCGGAAGACCAAGGGUUCCUGUCCAACGUUAAUCGGGGCAGGGUGAGUCGACCCCUAAGGCGAGGCCGAAAGGCGUAGUCGAUGGGAAACAGGUUAAUAUUCCUGUACUUGGUGUUACUGCGAAGGGGGGACGGAGAAGGCUAUGUUGGCCGGGCGACGGUUGUCCCGGUUUAAGCGUGUAGGCUGGUUUUCCAGGCAAAUCCGGAAAAUCAAGGCUGAGGCGUGAUGACGAGGCACUACGGUGCUGAAGCAACAAAUGCCCUGCUUCCAGGAAAAGCCUCUAAGCAUCAGGUAACAUCAAAUCGUACCCCAAACCGACACAGGUGGUCAGGUAGAGAAUACCAAGGCGCUUGAGAGAACUCGGGUGAAGGAACUAGGCAAAAUGGUGCCGUAACUUCGGGAGAAGGCACGCUGAUAUG